CUCUGGGUGGCACAGCCCCUUGCCAACCUCGGUGCAGCCUGAGGCGCCUGGGCCUGGGUCUUGGGUCAUCAGUGUGCAGUCAGGGACGGGGAUGUCUGUACGCCUGGAGGGUCCGGCCCGUUUGCCUGAGUGAGGAUGGGAUCAGAAAACAGUGGGGCUCUGCCGUCUGUUUCAUGCCCCCGUAACUGUGGGAGAUGCCCACACUCGGAGGGCUGAAGCCCCUGCUGGCCACGGUGCACCCACUGGGACAGGCACAGCCUGGAUUCAGCCCAGAGCCCGAGGCCCGAACUGAGGCCCACACCCUGGCAUCGUGAACUUCCUCCUCCUGCCACUGGUUUUCAGGAAGAACCCUGAAGAACCUUUGGACCGGGCCAGCUCUGUGUGGAGCCCCCCUGGAGCUCCCAGGCCUAGGAGGGGACUGAGAAGCACUGGGGCCUGGCCCAGCCUUGCUGCCCUCCAGCCAUGCCCUCCUCUGUCCCUGAGUGGAGGACAGCGUCCCCAGUCCCUCCCCAGGUGGGAAGGUGGCCCCAGCACAGGGCACAACCCCCACUUCCGUCUUGGAAGAGAAACACUGGCCUUGGCCCGGGUCAGUUCUGCCUGCCGGUCGGGCUCGUUCCAGGGGAGCAGGACCCUGGCCAAGGACAGACAGGCAGCCCCGCGCUGGCCCCUCCUCCCCAUCCUUGGGGCCCUCGGGGAGGUUGGGGAACAGUGACGCAGGAAGGAAAAGCAGAGGCCCCAAACGGCCGAAGAUGAUAGAGAAGAAGAAUUUACAGAAAUCAGACAAUAAAUACCCUGACCUCCUCGCCCAGCAAAGGGUACGACCUAGAAGGAGGUCAUGUUGACUUUGGGAUUGAACUCAAUAAAAGAACUCAGUCGAUAGAACGAUGGCAUGGAACUCAGGGUCUUGUACCUGGUUGGCAUGGGCCAGCCCCUUUUUUCAUUCUGAGAACGUAUCCACAGUGGCCUCAAACUUGUGAUCCUCCUGCCUCAGCUUCUCACAGGAGGAGCUCACAGGAGUGGGCCACCAUGCUUGACUAACAACCAUCACCUCUACGGGGUGGCACUGUGGGUGACUUAAAUAGCUUGGCUUUGGUUUCCAAACUUCCCACUCAUUUUGGAGGCCCGAACCCUUCUUUUCUUGUUUGUCUUUGUUUUUUUGAGACAGGAGCUCACUACGUAGCCCAGGCUGGUCUUGAACUCACGGUGAUCCUCCUGCCUCAGCCUCCCUGUGCUGGGACUACGGACAUAAGCGCCUGGCUGAGCACUUGCUGGAGCCUCUAGGGAAAACAUAUCUACCUCAAGUCCCCAGGGUGGCCCCCGGGGGCAUAGGUGGGACCCAGUCAACACUGCUGAAGCUGGAGACAGUGGCACCUGCCUGUAAACCCAGCACUUCAGGAGGCUGAGGCAGGAGGGUUGGGAAUUCAAGCCCAGCCUGGGCAACUUAGCAAGACCCUGUCAGUGCAGAGGCACUGGGUUCAAUCUCCGG
rnacentral:lncRNA from 1 species